AAUUCUUUCUAUGGAACAUUUUAACAUUUUGUUUCGGAAGUUUCAUCCACAGCAGUCAUCAUGGAAAUAAUACUUAUUGCAGGAGGUUGCGGAUGAGUUGAGUCUGAGGUACAAGCAAAAGAAAUUCAUGCUAGUCAGAAACCGCCUGUUGGACCCUUGGGAACACGCAUGUAUAACGGGUCUCAUAGACGACUCAGAUAACACAGAUGAUGCUUAAUUUGGUUCAACAGAAGUCAAAGACUUUGUGUACAUUCUUUAAACCAUAUGGCAUAUUAUAGUGAUCUUGUCAAUUGAUGGUUGUCUGUAAUCUCUUCUACUUUCAUAGUACUUAAUAUCAAUAGGGUGUAAUAGAAUGUGUAAUAUACGAAAUUAGGAAACUAAGAUUACAUAGCCAUAUACAGAAUAUACGAAAUUACAGAUUCUAUCAGGGUGGAUAGUUCUUGAAUGUUAUGCCAAAAUCAGUUGGCUGCUAUGCAUUUUUUGUUAAAUAGUGUUGUUAAUCUUUGCUAUGUGAAGAAUUGAUUUGUUACUAGUCAGGCUUUCA